AGAGUUUGAUCCUGGCUCAGAAUUAACGCUGGCGGAGUGCAUAACACAUGCAAGUCGAACGGGACUAUUUGAACCCGUAAGGGUUUUUGUAGUUUAGUGGCAAACGGGUGAGUAAUGCGUAGGUGACCUGCCUGAAGAAGAGGGAUAGCUUUACGAAAGUGAAGGUAAUACCUCAUAAGACCACGAACUUAAAGGUUUGAGGUUAAAGAUUCUACGUAAGUAGAGUCGUCUUUAGAGGGACCUGCGUCCUAUCAGCUUGUUGGUGAGGUAAUGGCUUACCAAGGCUAUGACGGGUAGCCGGCCUGAAAGGGUGAUCGGCCACACUGGAACUGAGAAACGGUCCAGACUCCUACGGGAGGCAGCAGUGAGGAAUUUUGUGCAAUGGGGGCAACCCUGACACAGCAACUCCGCGUGAAGGACGAAGGUUUUCGGAUUGUAAACUUCUUUUAGAGGGGAAGAUGCCUCUGAUUUAGUCAGAGGUGACAGUACUCUUUGAAUAAGUACCGGCUAACUACGUGCCAGCAGCCGCGGUAAUACGUAGGGUACGAGCGUUAUUCGGAUUUACUAGGUGUAAAGGGUAUGUAGGCGGUUCAUUAAGUUGAUUGUGAAAUCUUGAAGCUUAACUUCAAAACUGCAAUCAAUACUGAUGAGCUAGAGUUUAGGAGGGGAAAAUGGAAUUCCUGGUGUAGCGGUGAAAUGCGAAGAUAUCAGGAGGAACACCGAUGGCGAAAGCGAUUUUCUGGCCUAAGACUGACGCUGAGGUACGAAAGCUAGGGGAGCAAACAGGAUUAGAUACCCUGGUAGUCC
rnacentral:rRNA from 1 species